CCUACGGGAGGCAGCAGUUGGGAAUAUUGCACAAUGGGGGAAACCCUGAUGCAGCGACGCCGCGUGAGUGAAGAAUUAUUUCGGUAUGUAAAGCUCUAUCAUCAGGGAAGAAGCAAGUCGGUACCUGACUAAGAAGCCCCGGCUCACUACGAUUCAGCAGCCGCGGUAAUACGUAGGGGGCAAGCGUUAUCCGGAUUUACUGGGUGUAAAGGGAGCGUAUACGGUAUGGCAAGUCUGAAGUGAAAGCCCAGGGCUUAACCCUGGGACUGCUUGUGAAAAUGUUUGACUAGAGUGCUGGAGAGGUAAGCGGAAUUCCGAGUGUAGCGGUGAAAUGCGGAGAGAUAAGGAGGAACACCAGUGGCGAAGGCGGAUUACUGGACAGUAACUGACGCUGAGGCGCGAAAGCGUGGGGAGCAAACAGGAUUAGAUACCCCUGUAGUC
rnacentral:rRNA from 1 species